rnacentral:tRNA from 1 species
GGAGAGAUGUCCGAGCUGGCCGAAGGAGCGCGACUGGAAAUCGCGUGUACUACUCAAAAGUGGUACCGAGGGUUCGAAUCCCUCUCUCUCCGCCA